GCUAAAUUCUGUAGGAUAGUCACAUACACAAGCUGCAAAAGCAAGAAAAGAAAUUGUGUCAAGGCGUAUAUUGUUGUUAAUGAGUUGUUUUCUAAUUAAAUUGGAAGGAGAAACUGGAGUUUAACCCCUGUGUUUGGAUCCUUACAAUGAAAUCUACCGAACUAAAAGGAAGAAAAAUCAAAAUUCAAAAUGAAGGAAAGAUUAGGGCUAAAUUGGGUCCGUCAGCGAAAACCAGGCUACGUGGAGAAUGCCAGGAAUGAGUUCUCUAUGGCUGUGAUUGGCCACGGACAGCGAUGUGGUCAGAGGUCCAGGAACCAAUUCCUGCAGAUACAAAGGAAUAACUAUACAGACUCCUACCCCACCACAUAGAGGAAAAUGUCUCCCUCAAGGGUGAUUUUCUGGAGCUUUCUUUCCAGACCAACAGAUGGCAGCCUGGAGAAAAUAGGUACUGAUUUCUAUCUUACUAAGUAUCCCAUUUAUCAUGCUAUUUACAUUUCUUAUACAUAAACACAUUUUUAUUUGCUCAUUCCAGGAAGCAACUUCCAGGAAGUGCACUGAAGAAAUUAAUAUUAUUUCUCUGUGAGGAGGUGGUUAGGAGGAAGACUUACUUUUACCUCAUACUUUACUAUUUUUCUUGGGUCUUUUAAGUGUUUUUCUUUUUAAUAAAAG
rnacentral:lncRNA from 1 species